CCGCGCCUGUCAACGGUAUUGCACAAAAACUACACAUAGUGUAAUUGAUAAUAAGGACCAUAACUGAUGAUAUGCAAAAGUGAAAAUUGUUAAUAUCACCAAAUUGAAAGAAGAAAAUAAAAAUAAUAAAGUCAUUGAAGAAAAUGCUGGUUGUAUGGUAUGUGUUAUUGAUCAGAAAUAGUUUCAAUGCUGGUUGUAUGGUGUGUGUUAUUGAUCAGAAACGGUUUCAAUGCUUGGUG
rnacentral:lncRNA from 1 species